rnacentral:misc_RNA from 1 species
UUAGUAAUUAACAGAUUAGUAGAAGGCUAUUUCAGGGAAACUCCGAGAUUGUCAUUCUAUUGGAUGAACGCGGCUGGUCAAUCGGUUCCACUUGACACCCCACUAGCAAUGCGACGGAUUUUGGACAGGAUAACACAACCCAAAUGAUAUUAAAAAAAUAAUUAAGGACA